rnacentral:piRNA from 1 species
UCAAAACUGCUGGUGCUAUUCUUUUUUGC